UACUUGUCCGGUCUGUGUGUUUCGUUUAGGCCUGUUCUGUUCGGGUGGUUUGGGCCAGACACAGAGAGACAGACACAGAACAGCUCAUGACAGAGAGGAAGAGAGAGCAGUUGGUAUCUCUACCUGAAAAUACAUCAUCAUCAUGAUCGACAGCAGUCAUAAAAGUAUGCCUUAUUUACUCUGAAGAACCUCUAAAAUAGUGAUUUUGUUUUUUGUCCGACAACAUAAUGAUGUCUUGAGAUGAUGACUUAAUAAAAGUGAUUAAAUCAAACGAAUGUGAUUCCAUACAAACAUCUGGACUGUUCUGUUCUGUUGUGAUUUAGGGGUGUUGUUCUACCAUAUCAAUGUACUGCCAACAGUUUGGACCAGUAACCUGUUGGUCUGCAGCAUGUCCAGAACCCAGAGUCCAGAACCCAGAGUCCAGAACCUAGAGUCCAGCACCCAGAGUCCAGAACCCAGAGUCCAGAACCCAGAGUCCAGAACCUAGAGUCCAGAACCCAGAGUCCAGAACCCAGAGUCCAGAACCCAGAGUCCAGAACCCAGAGUCCAGAACCUAGAGUCCAGAACCCAGAGUCCAGCACCCAGAGUCCAGAACCUAGAGUCUAGAACCCAGAGUCCAGAACCCAGAGUCCAGAACCCAGAACCUAGAGUCCAGAACCUAGAGUCCAGAACCCAGAGUCCAGAACCUAGAGCCCAGAACCUAGAGCCCAGAACAGUACAACAGUUGAUUACAGUAGAUUGUAGGUAGGUUCUAGGUUCUAGUGAGGUUGGGGACAGUACAGUAGACUACAGUAGACUAGUCCUAUUGUAGGGAGGUUAUAGGUUCUAGUGAGGUUGGUGACAGUACAGUAGACUACAGUAGACUAGUCCUAUUGUAGGGAGGUUAUAGGUUCUAGUGGGGUUGGUGACAGUACAGUAGACUACAGUAGACUAGUCCUAUUGUAGGGAGGUUAUAGGUUCUAGUGAGGUUGGUGACAGUACAGUAGACUAGUCCUAUUGUAGGGAGGUUAUAGGUUCUAGUGAGGUUGGUGACAGUACAGUAGACUACAGUAGACUAGUCCUAUUGUAGGGAGGUUAUAGGUUCUAGUGAGGUUGGUGACAGUACAGUAGACUAGUCCUAUUGUAGGGAGGUUAUAGGUUCUAGUGAGGUUGGUGACAGUACAGUAGACUACAGUAGACUAGUCCUAUUGUAGGGAGGUUAUAGGUUCUAGUGGGGUUGGUGACAGUACAGUAGACUAGUCCUAUUGUAGGGAGGUUAUAGGUUCUAGUGAGGUUGGUGACAGUACAGUAGACUACAGUAGACUAGUCCUAUUGUAGGGAGGUUAUAGGUUCUAGUGGGGUUGGUGACAGUACAGUAGACUACAGUAGACUAGUCCUAUUGUAGGGAGGUUAUAGGUUCUAGUGAGGUUGGUGACAGUACAGUAGACUACAGUAGACUAGUCCUAUUGUAGGGAGGUUAUAGGUUCUAGUGAGGUUGGUGACAGUACAGUAGACUACAGUAGACUAGUCCUAUUGUAGGGAGGUUAUAGGUUCUAGUGAGGUUGGUGACAGUACAGUAGACUACAGUAGACUAGUCCUAUUGUAGGGAGGUUAUAGGUUCUAGUGAGGUUGGUGACAGUACAGUAGACUACAGUAGACUAGUCCUAUUGUAGGGAGGUUAUAGGUUCUAGUGAGGUUGGUGACAGUACAGUAGACUACAGUAGACUAGUCCUAUUGUAGGGAGGUUAUAGGUUCUAGUGAGGUUGGUGACAGUACAGUAGACUACAGUAGACUAGUCCUAUUGUAGGGAGGUUAUAGGUUCUAGUGAGGUUGGUGACAGUACAGUAGACUACAGUAGACUAGUCCUAUUGUAGGGAGGUUAUAGGUUCUAGUGAGGUUGGUGACAGUACAGUAGACUACAGUAGACUAGUCCUAUUGUAGGGAGGUUAUAGGUUCUAGUGAGGUUGGUGACAGUACAGUAGACUACAGUAGACUAGUGAGGUUGGUGACAGUACAGUAGACUACAGUAGACUAGUGAGGUUGGUGACAGUACAGUAGACUACAGUAGACUAGUGAGGUUGGUGACAGUACAGUAGACUACAGUAGACUAGUGAGGUUGGUGACAGUACAGUAGACUACAGUAGACUAGUGAGGUUGGUGACAGUACAGUAGACUAGUCCUAUUGACGAGUCGUUGUUUACCUGCUGCUUAUCAGACAUAUGGAAUGCUGCCAUGUCAGUCCUGCAAUCAUCACACACACACACACACACACACACACACACACACACACACACACACACACACACACUCACACACACACACACACACACACACAAACACACACACACACACACACACACACACACACACACACACACACACACACACACACACACACACACACACACACACACACACACACACACACACACACACACACACACACACUCACACACACACACACACACACACACACACACACACACACUCACACACACUCACACACACACUCACACACACACUCACACACACACACACACAAACACACACACACACACACACACACACACACACACACACACACACACACACACACACUCACACACACACUCACACACACACACACACACACACACACACACACACACACACACACACACACACACACACACACACACACACACACACACACACACACACACACACACACACACACACACACACACACACACACACGCAAACACACACACACACACACA